CUACCAUGGCGAUCACGGGUAACGGAGAAUUAGGGUUCGAUUCCGGAGAGGGAGCCUGAGAAACGGCUACCACUUCUAAGGAAGGCAGCAGGCGCGUAAAUUACCCAAUCCUGACUCAGGGAGGUAGUGACAAGAAAUAGUGAAUCGAGAGCUUUUAUGUUUUUCGUUUUUGCAAUGAGAACAACCUAAAAAACUUAACGAGGAUCAAUUGGAGGGCAAGUCUGGUGCCAGCAGCCGCGGUAAUUCCAGCUCCGAUAGCGUAUAUUAAAGUUGUUGCAGUUAAAAAGCUCGUAGUUGAACUUCUGUUCUUAGCACUUACCUUUACGGUAAAUUAAGCUGAUGAACAUCCCCUUUUGUUUCCAUUUCAUGAUCUUUGUUGUUUCAGUUUUGGAGACAAGGAAUUUACUUUGAAAAAAUUAGAGUGUUUCAAGCAGACGGUUUGUUGGAAUACAUUAGCAUGGAAUAAUAGAAUAUGACCUUCGUCAUUGUUUUGGUAGAUGUAUGAAGGUAAUGAUUAACAGGGACAGUUGGGGGCAUUAGUAUUGCUUUGUCAGAGGUGAAAUUCAUUGAUUAUCGCAAGACUAACUUAUGCGAAAGCAUUUGCCAAGGAUGUUUUCAUUAAUCAA
rnacentral:rRNA from 1 species